AUGGAUCCAGCAGAGGUUCUGCAAGUCAGGUUUCAUUAUGGGGGACAGUUCAUCCAUAUUGGCCCAUCCCUUGAUUAUGUUGGGGGAGAUACUGCAAUGUCAGUGAUUGAGAGGGAUAAGUUGUCAUUGCCAGAGGUGAAAGGAUUUUUAGCUGAUCAUUUAACUGUUAAAGAGAGUAUGAAGCUAUAUUUUCUUAUGCCUGGGAGAGAGCUAGUGAAUGGACUAAUGUUUUUGCAUACUGAUGAAGCUUGUAUGAAGAUGUCAGACCAUAUUACUGAUGCAGGGGUUGCUGAUAUAUUUGUGGAGUACAAUGGUGAGCAAGAUGAGCCAGAGGAAGAUUCUAGUGGCUCUGACUUUGAAGAUGAGCUGCAUGAUCUGAUGGACAAUGAGGAUGAACCAGAUGCUGUUAUCACUGCAGAAGGAGAAGAUAUUGUCCAAAGUAUUGUGCAGCCAGCUGAUGCAGUACCAGAGCAUGACAUUUUGGAACAUAUCCUGGUUCCUAAUGAAGGUGGUGUAGUUACUGAAAUUAUAAGCAGCCCUGUGAAGCACAAUAUCAGAGUUGAUGCUCUAUCCCAAGGAUCUCAAGUUAUCAAUCCAUCUCAGCCAAUUGCUGCAAGCCAGACCAUAGCUCCAAUUCCUGAAAAUGCAGAUAAAUGUUCAGAGUCUGAAGAUUCAGAUGAUCCUGAAUAUGUGGCACAUACUGAUGACAGUGGGGAGGAAUCAGAUGUAGUGGAGUUGAGGAAACAUGCUAGAAAAUUCAAGAAGAAGAUGAAAGCUUUAGAAGUAUGGUUUGCAAAGGAGUCUACUGAUCCAGUACCUAUUGAGCUAAUAGCAAAUGUGGAAGAAGCAGUACAUGACAUGGAGUUUGAGUCCUCUGAUGAGGACUACUCUUAUGAUGAAGAUGGUCAGUUUGAGUCCUCUGAUGAAGAUGACAUGGAGUUUGAGUCCUCUGAUGAAGAUGACAUGGAGAAAGAUAGAGGACUACAUUGA
rnacentral:rRNA from 1 species